rnacentral:sRNA from 1 species
CGCAGGCAACGACCCGAAGGGCGAAGCGCGCAGCGCUGAGGCAUCCUUCCCCCACCACCA